CCCAUUAUACAUUAAUUAUUUAAAACAUAUUGCUAAAAGCCCAUUACAUAUUUUGCAGGUAUAACCACACAUCUCUACUCAAUUUAGGGUUUACACACAAAAGAUCAACUGCGCCGCCCACGUCUCCAGCCGUAAAUCUCCUCUUUUCCCAGACGAUAGAAAUCACCUCUAAUUCCCCUAUUCCCUCGUCUGCCUCUCAAUUCCAGCCCCUCCUCCCUCGUCUGUAUCUCAAUUCCAGUAUUCCUCUUCUCUCUGCGUUGCUUCCUGUCGUGGUAUUAAAAGGAAAUUGAAAACAAAUAAAGAAAGAAAACUGAAAACAAAAAAGGAAAAAAGAAAGAAACGACAAGUAUUAAAAGAAAGAAACUACAUACUUAAAAACAAGAAACUAUAGAAAAAAGAAAGAAACUACAUAAACAAGUAUUAAAAGAAAGAAACUACAGAAAAAUGAAAUAAAUAAAAAACCUAUUUUUCAUCUACUGGGUUUCGACCCUAGACUUAAAAGAAUAUUGAAGAGCGCCUAAACCAAC
rnacentral:lncRNA from 1 species